rnacentral:sRNA from 1 species
CUAUCUCGGCCGCUGUGCAUUCGGUGCACGC